rnacentral:rRNA from 1 species
UCUGGAAACUNUCUGACUUGAGUGCAGAAGGGGAGAGUGGAAUUCCAUGUGUAGCGGUGAAAUGCGUAGAUAUAUGGAGGAACACCAGUGGCGAAAGCGGCUCUCUGGUCUGUCACUGACGCUGAGGCUCGAAAGCGUGGGUAGCGAACAGGAUUAGAUACCCUGGUAGUNCACGCCGUAAACGAUGUGUGCUAGGUGUUAGGCCCUUUCCGGGGCUUAGUGCCGGAGCUAACGCAAUAAGCACUCCGCCUGGGGAGUACGACCGCAAGGUUGAAACUCAAAGGAAUUGACGGGGGCCCGCACAAGCGGUGGAGCAUGUGGUUUAAUUCGAAGCAACGCGAAGAACCUUACCAGGUCUUGACAUCCCGAUGCUAUUCUUAGAGAUAGGAAGUUACUUCGGUACAUCGGAGACAGGUGGUGCAUGGUUGUCGUCAGCUCGUGUCGUGAGAUGUUGGGUUAAGUCCCGCAACGAGCGCAACCCUUAUUGUUAGUUGCCAUCAUUAAGUUGGGCACUCUAGCGAGACUGCCGGUAAUAAACCGGAGGAAGGUGGGGAUGACGUCAGAUCAUCAUGCCCCUUAUGACCUGGGCUACACACGUGCUACAAUGGUCGGUACAACGAGUUGCGAGCCGGUGACGGCAAGCUAAUCUCUGAAAGCCGAUCUCAGUUCGGAUUGGAGGCUGCAACUCGCCUCCAUGAAGUCGGAAUCGCUAGUAAUCGCGGAUCAGCACGCCGCGGUGAAUACGUUCCCGGGCCUUGUACACACCGCCCGUCACACCACGAGAGUUUGUAACACCCGAAGUCGGUGAGGUANCCUUUUAGGG